rnacentral:snRNA from 1 species
UGUAAAACGUAUAAACUUUCCUU